UCAAUAAGCACCCCCAGGUGGCUCUGACAGGCAGCCAGGCUUGCCAGCACUGCUCUGUUCAAAGCAUCCUACAAAGGCCGUGCUUAUUUAUUUACUUUUGUAAGCUUCAUCAGUUCUUCCAAUUUUCACCCUGAAAAUGAUCCUUCAACCUCAGCCUCUGGGUAAGACACCCCGAAAUGGACAUGCCUAAUGUGAAACAUAGGUGCUUGAUUGAGUUGGGCUAUGAUCGUCUGCAGAAGGUUGAGUAAAAGGGUGUCCAGUGUCUUAUUUGUAGCUCAGAGAGACAACCUGCUGGCUACAGUGGUGAGAACUGAUGUCUCCUCCAGGUGCUUUUGAUGGGCCAGAAACAGGCUUGCAGCCCACUCGCCACCCCUCCCAGAGUUUGGUUGGCAGAUUUGAUGCAAGUCUUGGGUGUCUGUGCAAGUGAUCAUGUGUGUUUCCUGGGGAUGCAGACUGCCAACGUGCAGCUUCUCAGCCAUUCGUGGCUGCAGCCAGUGGAAAAAGGACUUCACUAUUGCUUAUAAACCAUGAAUCAGUGGCCGCCUUUGCUAACAGCUUCCUUGGUUUGCCUAUUCAAACAUUGCAUAGGAAUGGAAUUAUAGAACACAUGAUAUUUUGUGACUGACUUCUUUCACUUGGCAUGUUUCUGAGG